UAUGAUAAAAGAACACAUUUUAUAUCAUCUAAUUGUUUAAUAUCGAAAAAGUGCAUAUAGUGAUACAUUUACAUAUAUUGUUCAGUAUUCAUUUUUUCUUUCUACUUAAUAAUUUUUGAUAUAUAUUGUCGUGAUAUAUAGACAAGUUAUGUUAUGUAAGACAUAAUAAUGGUCUUACAUUUGAAUGCUUGCCUAAAGAUAAUAUAUAUUUUAUUAGUUUAAUUGAAAUUAUUCAUAAAAGCUAGGAAGAUAUCUGCAUUUGUUUAUAAAAGUGAUUAUCUAAAGAACAUUGUUGUUUCUGAAAAUUGUAGCACUAAAUUUGUUCCAAUGAAUAUGAAUAUUAAUCGUUUUUAUAAUUCUAAAUAAUAUCUAUAUUGAAUUUUAAUUAAAAUAAUUGGUUAGGGCAGUUAAAAUAUACAUGAGAGUUGUCAUUAUGACAUCACAACUUUAAUAUUACACAUAAAAGUCUAAGAAAAUUAUUGUUAUUGCAAGAAUAUUUAGAACUAUUAUUCUUUCUGAACACAUUGAUACUGAUUAUAUAGGAAGAUAUAAUUUAUUAUUUAUAGUAUAAUAGGCUUUCUUUUCUCAUCAAUUGUAUUUAGCAUAUGAGAUUUGAACUAACAACUCAAAGAAAAAGUACCAAUUGUGCUCUGAUAAUAUGAUAAAAUAAAAAUUAUUAUAUUUUGUAUACAUAUAUAUUUUUUACAGCAGAUAUCUUUCAUUUUUAAAGAAUACCAAUAUAUUCUUCUAUUCAAAUGUCAUAGAAAAUUUCUUCUUCGUUUUAUUAAUCACAUUCUUAUAUAUUGUUAAUUUAGAUAUAAUAUAAUUAUCUGAUGAUUAUAUCAUAACACAUAUUUUUUAAAAAAAUAGAUGUCUUUAGUUCAUAGAUAGACAUUUAACAUAUACGUUAUACCCACUGUAACAUGUAAUUUGGAAAAUCUAAUUAUUUUUUUAAUACAUUUUUGAAUGACAAUGUGAAAUAUUUAAAUUACAGUGGUGUUUCUUUUCUAUCUUUUUUUUUUUCCCCCUUAUAAUUGAAGACAUCGUUUUAAAUACUUAACAUGCUAAUAUAGAUAUAUAUUAUAUUUUAUAUAAGCAGAAGUAGAUAUAAAAAUUUGGCUGCUUAAAUUAAUAUAAAAUUAGCACUUAUAUAGUUAUUAUAUUUUAUAUUCAUAAAAAAGACUGGAAGAUAUUGAGUGUAGUCUUAUGUUUGGCUGUUGCUUAUGAGAAGAUAAUUUUUUAUAGAAUAAAUAUAUACAUAUAUAUAUAUAUAUAUAUAUAUAUAUAUAUAUAUAUAUGUGUGUAUAUAUAUGUAUAUAUAUAUAUGUAUAUAAGUUUACUCUCUAUUUAGAAUAUUUUUUUUAAAUAAAUAAAAUUCUGCACCACAAAGGUCAUGUGAAAAACUGAUAUAAUAGAGAAAUUCUAAAGCACUAUGAAACAUUUAAAUCAAAAAGAGGUUUGCUUAUAAAUUUACUUCUAAUUUGCAUGAAUAUAUAUUUCGAAAGACAAGUGCGAUACUAUCACAUACAUAAGAGAUAUAAUAAUAGAAGCAAAAAAGAAAUAUCUCGCAAUCAGUUUUGUACAAGACCAUCGUGCUUAUAAAUUAAUUAUUAAAAUUUUAUAAUGAUAGCUAAUUAUUAACUAAAUAGUUAAAGAUAUCCAAUAUUAUUAACUAAUUAACGGUGUAAAUACAAAUGAUAGUUUAUGUACAAAUUACAGAAUAAUAUAUGUCAAAAAUUCAACUAUAAUACAUUGUUACUAUAACCGUUAAGUACAUAUUUAAUCAUUCCAAAAUAGGAUAACACUUCUAAAAUUGAUUCUAUAACAUUUUAAAAUAUUAUUAUUAAUAACAUACAUUACAGAGAAUGUAAUGCUUAUUCAGGAAUCCCAAUAAGGAUAAUUAAGUAUAUAUAAAAGUAUAUUUCUAAUAUCAUAUGAAUUUUGAUCUAUGAAAAGUCUAAGAAGAAUUAAGUACAAUGAUCAAUGCAAUUAAAUUUUAUCUAAAAAUUGAAUAGAUAUAUUUACCAUGUUAUGUUCAAGGAACAUUUAGUUUAGCGACGUGUAAUUUUAUCUUCGUAUAUGUACAUUUUACAUGACAGUACAACAACUCUUUUCUGAGUGGUUAUCACCAAUAAUUUCACUUGUGUUUCCAGUAAAUCGUUGAAAGUCACUUGUGCCCAAAUCAGAGUUGGAUAUAGAUGAAACUGGUACAACUGGAAAACCAUUUCCAUUAGUAUCCACGGAACCACUUGAUAUAUGUCGAUUUUGUGCCCUCUUCUUUUUCAAAUCUGAUAGAGAUUUGACAAAAACUACAGACACAUGUAUGUUGAUCUUUCCAUUGGUAUCAUCUGUCGAGUAAAUAGGUUGCUGGCUGCCAACUGGUACAUCAGGUUCUGUCACUGCUGAGGCAAAUAGGUAAAUCCAGUGCUAUUUUCCUUCAAGCUCAACUUCUUUUCGUUGUAAAUCCAUUUUGCGAUCCCUUCACCUAACCCCUUAUAUGCUAUGCACUGAUUAUGGUUGGAAAUGAUGUUUCAACUAGACUCAUGCACUAAGCAUGACAUGCUUGAGCAUAAGCGUUAAACACUGCAUAAAGAAGUACCAUGUCACCAGUGUGCAUAUACAGUAUAUAGCAUAUUGCAGAUCAAAGUCUUUUUAAGUCAAUAUGUAUAUGAGUAUAUAGAAUAUAAUUAUAUAUUAGAUUCAAAAAAGGAACUAGAUUUUGGUAUUCUUUGUUCCAGUUCUAUGCUUCUACAUAUAAUAAUGAUGCAAUUACAAUAAUAACAUACUUUUUUAACACGAUGUCAUUAUUAUAAAAGUUCAAUAUUACUAAAGCAACUGUACUGCAUUUUAACAAGCUACCAUAAUUGAACAGUUUAGCUAUGCUUGCUCAUGGUAGACUGAGUAGUAUUGAGAUAAAAUAGUGAUUAGAAUAAUAAUCUUUUAUAAGGCUAUUUUAUUCAUGUAUAACAAAAUCUUAUAUAUCAGUUUGUAGCAAGUUUGUUGCAAAUAUUUUUUUAUAUCUCCAAACUACAACUGAUAUGUUUAUUAAAUUGACUAAUAUGUUUUUAUUCAAUACUAUUCGUCUAUUAACCUUAAUAACCUUAGAAGAUGAUAAGAUUGGUACUUAUUAAGUACCAAUUAUAUACAUAAAAUAUAUAGAAACUUCGUGAUAAAUGUAAAUUAUAUGAAAGCUCACAAAAUUGUAAUAUAAUCAUGCUGUACUACACUAUAGGCCAUUAAACAUUUGGUAUUUUUAAUAAAAUUAUUAAUGUAUCAAACAAUAAUAAUUUUCUAAAUGUAUACUAGACCUAUGAAUUCAUAGAGAGUAUAUUUUAUAUAGAUUUCUGCUAAGUAAUGAAUUAUCUUUUCUCAUUGCACUUUUAAUCAUUAUUAUAAAAUUUCCUUAAAAAAUUUCUAUUAUUCCCGAGUUUCAAAGUAUGUCCAAACACAUGGGAAGUACUUCAUAUUUAACAAAAAAUUAUAAUUAUUUAAUUACUAGAUCAUUUUAAAUUGAUAUUCAUCAUUUUUUAAAUUUUGUUAAAUCAAGCAAACGUAUUAUCCCAGUGAAAUGAUUUAGUAUAAGUAUAGAACUUCUACAAAACAAAAGACCAUAUUGGUAGAUAAAUGUACUAUAUAUGUUGUACAAAUAUAAAUUAUAUAUGCAUGAUUGCAAUGUAUAUACAAGAUUUGAAAAAAUCAAUCAAUACAAUUUGCUCAAAAAUGUGAUUAAAGAAAUAGGAAAGUGACAUAAAAAACUAACCUCAGAAUUAGUCAGGAGCACGCAGUAAUGAAAAAGAGAAAAGCAGAGAUUUUAAAACUUUUGAAGAUACUUAAAGAUACAUUAUUGUAUCACAGCAUAUUAUUAUUGUCAUUUAUAUAUCCAAAUUACAUCCAAUGAGAUAAUCAUUGAGUCAUAACACAACUUAAAUUUAAGAAAUUAUUGACUGAAAAAAAUCAGAGAAAGAUGCAAUAUACCUUAAUAUACAUACAUAACAUAAUCUUACUUUGUACAUUAUAAAAGAUAAUAAAAUAUAGUUAUGUGUGAAUAUUAAGAAGAUCAUGAAAAAAAAAAGAAAAAAAAAAAAAAAAAAAAAAAGAAAAGAAAAAAGAAAAUGUUCAUUUUUAAUGAUUCUUGGGAAAAAGCUACCAUUUACCACAAUGUUCUACUAAACCACAACCAAUACAAGCAUAAAAAGAAUUGGAAUGUACCUGAAUCUUUAUCAACAUCUUCAUGCAUAAAAGAAUCAUUAUCUUUUCCUUCUGGCCCUUUGCGUACAGCAGGAGUCAGCGUACUUGAUUCAGUUUCAUUAUUUACCACAUCUUGCGUAUUUGUGCUGUUCUCUGUUUGUGGAAGAUUAGGAGUUGGAAUACUAACGUAUGUCUAAAAUAAAUCAAAUAUUCUAAUGUAAUUUUGAUGAGCUAGUAGAAAUAAGCACAAUUUGUAGUUUAUUUACAAUUAAAAAUGUUGUAUUAUAAUAUAUAUUGAUUGUUUAAUUAGAUUAUUUCACCUGUUGUGCUUGUAACCUCAGUCUUGCUUCCUCUUGAGCAUCUUUCUUUGUUGUGAGAA